rnacentral:rRNA from 1 species
GAACGCGAAAGUCCCGCAAGGGAUCAGUAGAGUGGCAAACGGGUGAGUAACGCGUGGGUGACCUGCCUUCGAGCGGGGGAUAACGUUCCGAAAGGGACGCUAAUACCGCAUAACAUCCUGUCUUUUAAGAGGCGGAGAUCAAAGCCGGGGAUCGCAAGACCUGGCACUCGAAGAGGGGCCCGCGUCCGAUUAGCUAGUUGGUGAGGUAAUGGCUCACCAAGGCUCCGAUCGGUAUCCGGCCUGAGAGGGCGGACGGACACACUGGGACUGAGACACGGCCCAGACUCCUACGGGAGGCAGCAGUGGGGAAUUGUUCGCAAUGGGCGCAAGCCUGACGACGCAACGCCGCGUGGAGGAUGAAGAUCUUCGGGUCGUAAACUCCUUUCGAUCGAGACGAACGGCUUCCGGAUGAACAAUCNCGGGAGAGUGACGGUACCGAGAGAAGAAGCCCCGGCUAACUCCGUG